UCCUUAGUACGGCGAGUGACCGGGAAAGCUCAAUUUGUAAUCUGGCUGUCUCUCGUAUAGUCCGAGUUGUAAUCUAUAGACGUGUUUUCCGUGCUGGACCGUAUCUAAGUCCCUUGGAACAGGGUAUCAAAGAGGGUGACAAUCCCGUGCUUGAUACGACCACCAGUGCUCUGUGAUACACGCUCUACGAGUCGAGUUGUUUGGGAAUGCAGCUCAAAAUGGGUGGUAAAUUCCAUCUAAAGCUAAAUAUUGGCGAGAGACCGAUAGCGAACAAGUACCGUGAGGGAAAGAUGAAAAGCACUUUGGAAAGAGAGUUAAACAGUACGUGAAAUUGUUGAAAGGGAAACGAUUGAAGUCAGUCGUGUUCUUUGGAUUCAGCUAGUUCUUCUAGUCUACUUCCAUUGAACGGGUCAACAUCAGUUUUGUCCGGUGGAUAAAGAUAGUAGGAAUGUAGCUCCCCCGGGAGUGUUAUAGACUAUU
rnacentral:rRNA from 1 species